GCCGGCCGCGCUCGCCGCCGCCUUCCCCUGCACGCACGCACUUCGCGGAACAAGACAGGGAUUGUUCGUUUCGGAGCCUUUACUGCUGUGUAAGAACAAGGUGCAUCCAGCACUUCAUUUGCUGUGCCCCAAGCAGCGUGAGGAACUGUGUCUCCAAGCAUCCUCACCCCCGCACGUGAUGGGCCAUCAGGAGAGCCCAGUUGUACAUCUGGACAUCAAAAGAGAAGGUGUCCUGAAUGAAAGGAAUGGGUUUUGCUGAGAUCCUGUGAAGAUAGCCCUGUCAGAGGAAGGUGCUGAAGCCAGGCCCCAGGGCAGUGGUGAGGACGCAGCGCUCUGCCCAGCCUGCGGGCUCGCAUCAAACGGGGGUGCAAGGGCUGGGUAUAGGCACUGCUUUCUUGCUACUAAGCUCCAUCUGGAAAACAUCUUCCUUUUUUCUUUUUUCCCCACACCAAAAGAAACCCAAGCAACUCGGGAAUGAAUCUGUCGUUUAAUCAGAUGCUUUUUCUUUUUAUUCUGGGGAAUUUUAAUAAAAGCACAAAGCCAAGACUGCCAGAGUGCAGAGCUGUUCUCUCCGGGAGAGAACCAAGAGCCCUCCCGCAGCUCCGAAUGACGUCCAUGUCUCAUCAGGUCGCUGGGACAAUUUGGAUGCUGGAUUCUCUGCUUGUAACCCCUUUUGGGAAUGUCAUUGUUCUACAUUAUGCAUGACACAGAUCCUAUACUAUACACAACGCAGCUGCUGGUGCGAGGGAACCAGUCCUGAGAUGCAGAGGAGCCCCCCGAGCUCAGCAUGCUUGUCUAAAAACAGGAUUUGCUGGUGGAGGCAUCCGCCACCUCCUCCACCAGAUUUGCCAUCCAAGCCCCACGAGGCUGACAGGGAGGCACUGAGCCCGGAUCUGUGGUGGUCCCUGCCCUGCACUCGCUGCCAUACUUCUCCUCAAAGACACCAGUACUGGUUUCAGUGAGCUCCUUUUCUGGGGAAGCUGAUACACUUGCUUUUCAUGCUGGCUAACUCAAGAUGUUGAUUUCAUUUUGCUCUGCUCUCUUCUGCCACAUGCAUGCACAGCGAAAAUAAUUUUUGAAGUUUGAUGACUUUCAGGAAGAUGCUAUCCAUAACAAUAGUGACAUCUGAGAUAGUCCCACCCUGGCAGCUUUAUAGGAAACUGAUUGGCCAUUCUCUGAAAAAUGCAGACAGGACUACCAGCCCAGAGCUAUAGAUUUAUUUGCAUUCAAUACUUAGAGCAAACCUCUUUACAUUUCUAAAUAUAGAGAAUUAUUUUGAAAGUAUUUCAGAAUCAGUUUGCAAUGAUGAGUUACAUAAAAAUGGUACAGUUGUGUAAAGGCAAAAAUACAAACUUCAUAAAAGGGAUGUUAAACAAGGACUGUGGGAGUUAGGCACUCAAUGAAUCAGGCCUGCUUUGAGAAAACCAGCCUCAGUAAGGAUUUAAACUUUCUAAAAUCAAAAAGAGGAAUAUCUUCAACACAUAAAAAACCUGAGAGGAUGAUCACCCAUUACCAGGCAGCAGAGGGAAGAUCACCAUAAUUGGAGAGC